rnacentral:rRNA from 1 species
GAUGAACGCUGGCGGCGUGCCUAAUACAUGCAAGUCGAGCGAACAGACGAGGAGCUUGCUCCUCUGACGUUAGCGGCGGACGGGUGAGUAACGCGUGGAUAACCUACCUAUCAGACUGGGAUAACUUCGAGACACCGGAGCUAAUACCGGAUAAUAUCUUGAACCGCAUGGUUCAAUAGUGAAAGACGGUUUUGCUGUCAGUUAUAGCUGGAUCCGCGCCGCAUUAGCUAGUUGGUAAGGUAAAAGCCUACCAAGGCAACGAUGCGUAGCCGACCUGUGAGGGUGGUUGGCCACCCUGGAACUUGGCCACCGACCAUGCGCCUAAGGGAGGGCGCAGUAGGGAACGGUCCGCAAUGGGCGAAAGUUUGGCGGAGCAACGGCGCGUGUGUGAUGGAGGUCCUCCGAUCGGAAAACCGUGUUAUUAGUGAAGAACCAAUUUGUCAUGUACCAAGCACUGAUUGACGGUACCGAAUCAAGAAGCCCCGGCUAACUACGUG